rnacentral:rRNA from 1 species
UACGGAGGGUGCAAGCGUUAUCCGGAUUCACUGGGUUUAAAGGGUGCGUAGGAGGGCAGGUAAGUCAGUGGUGAAAUCUCCAAGCUUAACUUGGAAACUGCCGUUGAUACUAUCUGUCUUGAAUAUUGUGGAGGUGAGCGGAAUAUGUCAUGUAGCGGUGAAAUGCUUAGAUAUGACAUAGAACACCAAUUGCGAUGGCAGCUCACUACUCAAUCAUUGACUCUGAGGCACGAAAGCGUGGGGAUCAAACAGG